AAAUAUGAAUCUUAUUUUACUUCUAAGGACGUGUAGAUUACCACUUUGAUAUCAUGACGGCGUUUCAAGAUCGUGGAGCAAGGACUAACAAUUUGUGGAUGACUCAAGACUUGUUGUUUAGCAUUUAUGUAGGCUUUAAUCUACUCUACUUCAUGAGAUAGUGCAUGAUAUAUAUUGCAUAUUAAGUAAGAAUGUUACAAUAUGAUUAUGGUCGAAUACCAUGACUUAGCCUAAUUUAGAAGUUUGGGAUAAAAGGGUGAAUCGUCCCUUAAAGAUGAAAUACUUGUUAUGGAAAAGUCAUUUUGUGGGAGGAUGCUCUCAGCGCACAUUUGCAAGGUCGCUAACGUGCACCUAGGGUAAAUCUUCAUGGCAAUCACUGAAAAACCAGUGGAAACACCAACGAAAUUAGUGACUCCUCGGGAUGAAAUAAACUGCUCUUUGCCUUCACUGACUUUUGGGAACUUCCUUUCCCUCAGGUAUCGGUCUAUUCCUGAGGAGGAUGAGGCACCAAGCAUGAAUUCAGACUCACUGACAUCAGUCCACCUUCGAAAUUUUGGAUCUAUAUGUCCAAAUAGGAAACUACAAUUCUCAGAACACGCACCUCCUGCUCAGCAACCAGUAAAGAAGGAAUCCUCUAAGAAUUGCAAGGUUGGAACAGGUAAAACACUCUCUUAUAUUCCUUCGAAUACGGAAGAUGGUAAAAUCUAUGUGAAUAUCGUUGAGGAUGACUUGAAAGAACAAACACAAUACUGGCAGAAUGCCUUAAUUGGGCUUUUGGUUGGGGACACCCCCUACCAAAACUCUAUGGAGAGUUUUGUGUCAAAUAUCUGGGAUUUUAUUGAUACGCCAUAAACUUUGGGGCAUGAAUCCGGUUAUUUUAUUUUUUGAUAUGAUUCAAGUGAAGAUCGCGAUAAAGUUCUACUCAAUGGCCCCUAUACAUUUCAUAAUAAACCUUUUGUAGUUCAACCAUGGGAGAUUGAUUUUGAGUUUGACCCUAAUUGUAUCACAUCAAUCCCGCUAUGGAUAACAUUGCCUAUGCUACCUGUUGGAUAUUGGUCUGGUAAAGCUUUAAGCAAAAUUGCAAGAAGAAUUGGACGACCUUUGCACCCUGACCACUUUACUGCUAUAUGGAACGUAUCUUAUAUGCUCGAGUCUGUGUGGAAGUGGAUGCUUUUCAACCACUGAUAAACUCUGUAGAAAUGGUGACCCCUACGGAUAUGUUCCACCAGCCUAUAGAGUAUGACUGGAAACCUCAUUUCUGCAACCACUGCCUACGAUUUGGGCAUGCUUUUGAGGAUUGUCGAAAGGAAGUUAAAACUAAAGAACAAGAGAAUGAAUUCCAAGAGAAGCCGAAAAAAGGAGAAGAAAUAGAAUAAGAAGAAAACCUAUGCGCCAAGAUUGGCAAGCUAAGAAAAAUAAGACCACAACAACUGAAGCCAACAAUGCAAACCAAAUCCAAGCUGACCAUGAUCAAACCCAGUCUAGGGAUGAACUGUUGGCUACUCAAGUGGGAACAAAACUUAUGACUAAAAGAAAUGGAUUAGAAGAAGGUACUAGCACCUCUGGGAAUGAUAAUAGGUUCUCAGUUCUGGAAGCUAUAGGUGAACAAGAGGAAGAGCCAGGUGACCCUGACAUGCCUCCAAUAUUAGAUGAUAUGUGCAACAUAAAACUUGAGGGGUUUAAACCAACCCCUCAAACAGAAGAAGCUUAAACUCUUUCUGAAUAACCAGAAGAUUGAUCUGAUGGGAUGUUUAGAGAUAUAGGUAAACAACACAAAAGCUCCAUUAUCCUGAAUAAGGUUGCAUAAGGAUGGAACAAUAUUUGUAAUUAUGCAGAGAACCAAAAUGGUAGAAUCUGAGUACUGUGGAGAUCAUAAAUACAUGUGUAAGUAUUGGUGACACAUGAGAAAUUUAUGCACUAUUAUGUUGAAAGCCCUGCAGAAUUCUUUGCUGCCUAUAUUACAAUUGUUUAUGCAAAAAACACUGCUGCAAAAAGAGUAUCAAUGUGGACUGGUUUGGUGGGGCUGAGUACUAGCAUUCAGGAACCAUGGAUCUUAAGUGGGGAUUUCAAUACCCUCUUGAGUUCAGAUGACAGAUUGGGGCUCCCCUGUUACUUGUGCUGAAAUACAGGACUUCAAGAAUUGCUUGGAUCAUUUGCAGAUCACCCUUUUGAGGUAUAAGGUAUGCUAUUACUCCUUUUGUAGUAAACAGGACCAACAACAUAGAGUUUACUCAAGAAUAGAUUGGGAUUUAGGCAACUACCAGUGGCUACAAAGUUAUGGUGCAGUGGAGGAUGACUACUUGCUACCAGGAAUAUCUCACCAUUCCCUAAUCUUGAUGCACUGUAAUCCAACUCUGAGCAAUCGACCAAACCCAUUCAAACUAUAUUCUACUGUCAUGCAGCAUCACCAAGACAUUAUUUCAGGAACUUGGGCACAUAGAUAUGCUAGAACCAGAAUGUAUCAGUUAGCUCAGAAGUUGAAAGCACUCAAAGAAAAUCUCAACUCUCAUAUGGCUUCCUAUGAAAGACACUUACAAACUACCAGACAACAACUUAUAGUUGUUCAGGAUAAAAUAACCAAUGAUGGGUUUAAUCAGAACCUGAUAGAGGAGGAAAAAUGCUUAUUCAAAAAAUGCACCAUUGGAGCCUAGUGGAAGAACAAGCUCUAAGACAAAAAUCCAGGGCUAUAUAGAUUUCUUGUGGAGAUUCUAACUCAAAAUUUUUCAUGAUCAACGCAGGAUAAGGGCAAAUAGAAAUGCAAUUACCUCAAUCUACACUGACCAAGGGGAAAAGCUCAGAGAACCAACACAGGUGGAAUAAAAAUUUGUAACUUUAUUUACCAGACUGUUAGAAACUGCAACAAUUGGGAUGCCUUUGCCAAAUUCUGAAGUAAUCAAAAGAGGUACACAAAAAAUUAACCUCAUAAAGGAAGUCACAGGGGAGGAAAUAUUGAAUGCUAUCAAAGACAUGCCGAGUGAGAAAUCACCAGGCGUGGAUAGUGUGCCAAUUGAGUUCUAUACUAGUCAAUAGAGCAUAGUGAAGACUGAUGUGCUACUGACUAUGCAAGAAUUUUUCCAUUCAGUUUCAGAGUUGAUCAGAGGCAAUGGAAAUAUCAUGUUGAUGACUUAUGCUCAACAAAUUGAGGAAGAAAAGAUAAAGGAAGGUUACAGGAUGAAUAAGUGGGCCUGAACAGGUAGGUUUGACUUUUUUCAUCAGAAAUUAUGUAGUGGAAAUUGCUCUCAGUUUGCCAAGAAAUAAGCAAAGCUUAGAAUCAAAUAGUAGAGCUAUAUCACCAGUAGUGGACUCUCUCUUCUUAAUCUUUAUUCAUAGUAUAACUUCAUCUUUUCUUUGUACAAAGUUGAACUCUCAUUGCUUUAAGACGAAACUCAUCCAUCUUAUUAAAUUGCUCAAGUCUUAACUUUGCUGCAUUAUUCCAUGCUGAUUCAACCUCUUGAGGGCCCAAAUGCCUUGGGGUCAAGUUCGACAAGAAAGUAAUGAUUUUCCAAACACGAGCUGAUAUGGACAAACACCAACAGGGGUCUUAAAUGUUGUCCGGUAAGCCUAUAAUGCAUCACCAAACAUUCUAGCUCAAUUUGUUCUAUUGACUGUCACAGUCUUCACAAAAAUAAAAUUGAUCUCUCAAUUGGAGACCUCUACUUGCCCACUUGAUUAAAGAUGGUAAGGUGUUUCCACCUUAUGUUUCACACCAUAUCAUUCAAGCGAGUCUCUGAACAAAAAUUACAUAAGUGAGAACCCCAUCCCUGAUAAUGGCCCUCGACAUACCAAAUCCUAAAUAGGGUUCUAAGGUGCCAAAAAGCCUUUUAUAGCUGAAGUAAAAAUAGGCAAGGAAAUUAUGAAACUGGCACAACUUUUUACUACAGAGAAGGGACCUCGAUGUCGAUGAAAUCCACAAUAAUAAGCUAACGUGCUUCUUGAUCACCAAAUUGAUGUUGACUUAGGCUUCAAUGAUUUUGUAUUACUAAUGUUUCUGCUAGUUUUGUAGGUACAAAAGGAGGUAUAAGGAAGAAUAUCAUUCAUAGCCUUAGAAUCUCUUGAAGAUGAAUUUUAUGAACACUAUGUUUAUAAUCAUGAGUGAUAUGUUGGUGAGAUCUAAUCCAAAUAUGAAUGUGAAAUAAAUGGGACUUAUGGAUCUUAUGAUGAACAUGAAAGAUUAUAAGUACCUUAUGAUGAAUUCGAUAGUGAAGAUGAAGGGUAUGGGGGUUCUCAUAUUACAUACCAUAGUGAUGAAGACAAUAUGAGUUGCAGCAUCUGGUCAGCAGGUAAAGGAGUCCUUAUAGUUCAAGGUCUUGUGUUGGUUGUUUCAGUUCAGAGACACUGUACCUUUUUCUGUCGGCCAUAUUGAGUGGGAUGGUUGGGAGUCAUGACCCGUUUAUGUACAGGCAAUACUCUUCAUAGACAGUAGUAGUGGUUGAUGUAUUCAGUCUCCUUCUUGUAUAUGUAUAUGUGUCAGUAGAAUUGUCAUCUUGUAAUUCCAUUUUUGUAUUGAACAUAUUCUGUAUUGAGAUAUUUUCAGCUUCAUUCUCUCAGAAUUAUGUUUUAAAUCAACUGCUUUUGAGUUAUACCUAUGAAAGGGUUAGCUUGGGGUCACUUGUGACCCUAAGCACCAUGUGACGUCUA